ACAUACGACCAUAGGGUGUGGAGAACAGGGCUUCCCGUCCGCUCAGCCGUACUUAAGCCACGCGCCGGCAGGUUAGUAGUAUGGUGGGUGACCACAUGCGAAUCCCUGCUGUUGUAUGUU
rnacentral:rRNA from 1 species